rnacentral:rRNA from 1 species
AGAGUUUGAUCCUGGCUCAGGAUGAACGCUAGCGGCAGGCUUAAUACAUGCAAGUCAAGGGGGUAGCAAUACAACCGGCGCACGGGUGAGUAACGCGUACACAACAUGCCAUAUACUGGAGUAUAGCUUUGGGAAACUGAAGGUAAUCCUCCAUAAUAUUUCGGAUAGGCAUCUAUUUGAAAUUAAAGUUUCGACGGUAUAUGAUUGGUGUGCGUUUGAUUAGCUAGUUGGUAGGGUAACGGCCUACCAAGGCUACGAUCAAUAGCUGGCGUGAGAGCGCGACCAGCCACACUGGAACUGAGACACGGUCCAGACUCCUACGGGAGGCAGCAGUAGGGAAUAUUGGACAAUGGGCGAAAGCCUGAUCCAGCCAUGCCGCGUGAUAGAUGAAGGCCCUCUGGGUUGUAAAUAUCUUUUAUCUGGGAAGAAACACUUCUAUUCUUAGAAGCUUGACGGUACCAGAGGAAUAAGCACCGGCUAACUCCGUGCCAGCAGCCGCGGUAAUACGGAGGGUGCAAGCGUUAUCCGGAUUCACUGGGUUUAAAGGGUGCGUAGGCGGGUAUAUAAGUCAGUGGUGAAAGCUCCGAGCUUAACUUGGAAACUGCCAUUGAUACUGUAUAUCUUGAAUGUCGUUGAGGUUAGCGGAAUGUUGCAUGUAGCGGUGAAAUGCUUAGAUAUGCUACAGAACACCAAUUGUGAAGACAGCUAACUAAGCGAUGAUUGACGCUG